GCCGGGCUAGCUCAAUCGGUAGAGCGUGUGGCUUUUACAGCAAACACGGUCUGAGAUCACCACAAGGCUGCGAGUUCGAGCCUCGCGUUCGGCU
rfam:Trichophyton interdigitale MR816 cont1.111, whole genome shotgun sequence.